rnacentral:rRNA from 1 species
CAGACUAGAGUGCGGUAGGGGAGAUUGGAAUUCCUGGUGUAGCGGUGGAAUGCGCAGAUAUCAGGAGGAACACCGAUGGCGAAGGCAGAUCUCUGGGCCGUAACUGACGCUGAGGAGCGAAAGCAUGGGGAGCGAACAGGAUUAGAUACCCUGGUAGUCCAUGCCGUAAACGUUGGGAACUAGAUGUGGGGACCAUUCCACGGUCUCCGUGUCGCAGCUAACGCAUUAAGUUCCCCGCCUGGGGAGUACGGCCGCAAGGCUAAAACUCAAAGGAAUUGACGGGGGCCCGCACAAGCGGCGGAGCAUGCGGAUUAAUUCGAUGCAACGCGAAGAACCUUACCAAGGCUUGACAUAUACCGGAAACGGCCAGAGAUGGUCGCCCCGCAAGGUCGGUAUACAGGUGGUGCAUGGUUGUCGUCAGCUCGUGUCGUGAGAUGUUGGGUUAAGUCCCGCAACGAGCGCAACCCUCGUUCUAUGUUGCCAGCACGUUAUGGUGGGAACUCAUAGGAGACUGCCGGGGUCAACUCGGAGGAAGGUGGGGAUGACGUCAAAUCAUCAUGCCCCUUAUGUCUUGGGCUUCACGCAUGCUACAAUGGCCGGUACAAAGGGCUGCGAUACCGUAAGGUGGAGCGAAUCCCAAAAAGCCGGUCUCAGUUCGGAUUGAGGUCUGCAACUCGACCUCAUGAAGUCGGAGUCGCUAGUAAUCGCAGAUCAGCAACGCUGCGGUGAAUACGUUCCCGGGCCUUGUACACACCGCCCGUCAAGUCAUGAAAGUCGGUAACACCCGAAGCCAGUGGCCUAACCCCUUGUGGGAUGGAGCUGUCGAAGGUGGGAUCGGUGAUUAGGACUAA